rnacentral:rRNA from 1 species
AACGAACGCUGGCGGCAUGCCUAACACAUGCAAGUCGAACGAGACCUUCGGGUCUAGUGGCGCACGGGUGCGUAACGCGUGGGAACCUGCCCUUAGGUUCGGAAUAACUCCCCGAAAGGGGUGCUAAUACCGGAUAAUGUCUUCGGACCAAAGAUUUAUCGCCUUUGGAUGGGCCCGCGUUGGAUUAGCUAGUUGGUAGGGUAAAAGCCUACCAAGGCGACGAUCCAUAGCUGGUCUGAGAGGAUGAUCAGCCACACUGGGACUGAGACACGGCCCAGACUCCUACGGGAAGCAGCAGUGGGGAAUAUUGGACAAUGGGCGAAAGCCUGAUCCAGCAAUGCCGCGUGAGUGAUGAAGGCCUUAGGGUUGUAAAGCUCUUUUACCCGGGAUGAUAAUGACAGUACCGGGAGAAUAAGCGCCGGCUAACUCCAUG